UGGGGAAUAUUGGACAAUGGGGGCAACCCUGAUCCAGCAAUGCCGCGUGGGUGAUGAAGGCCUUCGGGUUGUAAAGCCCUUUCGGCGGGGAAGAUGAUGACGGUACCCGCAGAAGAAGCCCCGGCUAACUUCGUGCCAGCAGCCGCGGUAAUACGAAGGGGGCUAGCGUUGUUCGGAAUUACUGGGCGUAAAGGGCGCGUAGGCUGUGCUGUAAGUCAGGCGUGAAAGGCCCGGGCUCAACCUGGGAACUGCGCUUGAUACUGCGGCGCUGGAAGGCGGGAGAGGAUGGCGGAAUUCCCAGUGUAGAGGUGAAAUUCGUAGAUAUUGGGAAGAACACCGGUGGCGAAGGCGGCCAUCUGGCCCGCAAUUGACGCUGAGGCGCGAAAGCGUGGGGAGCAAACA
rnacentral:rRNA from 1 species